rnacentral:rRNA from 1 species
GCAAGUCGAACGAACUCUGGUAUUGAUUGGUGCUUGCAUCAUGAUUUACAUUUGAGUGAGUGGCGAACUGGUGAGUAACACGUGGGAAACCUGCCCAGAAGCGGGGGAUAACACCUGGAAACAGAUGCUAAUACCGCAUAACAACUUGGACCGCAUGGUCCGAGUUUGAAAGAUGGCUUCGGCUAUCACUUUUGGAUGGUCCCGCGGCGUAUUAGCUAGAUGGUGGGGUAACGGCUCACCAUGGCAAUGAUACGUAGCCGACCUGAGAGGGUAAUCGGCCACAUUGGGACUGAGACACGGCCCAAACUCCUACGGGAGGCAGCAGUAGGGAAUCUUCCACAAUGGACGAAAGUCUGAUGGAGCAACGCCGCGUGAGUGAAGAAGGGUUUCGGCUCGUAAAACUCUGUUGUUAAAGAAGAACAUAUCUGAGAGUAACUGUUCAGGUAUUGACGGUAUUUAACCAGA